GAAUUUAAGAAUGCUGUCAGUGAUACAGGUAGGAAGUACAACUCCAUUCACACCAGUUCUGGGUAAUGAAACAGAAACCACCUGAAUGAGUUGGUUUCACUGUUGUCUUAUAGCUCAUGCACACAAAGUUACAUCUUCAAGCACUGGUAUCUCAGAUACCAGGCGAUGUUACGUAUCCAAAGCACAUUCAUGAAGGCACAGUACAUUUUAAGUGUAAAUUUCCAGGUAAACCUGAUGCUGUAAUUUAAUAUCUAAAAAAAUACACAAACCAUUUUAACAU